rnacentral:rRNA from 1 species
GGAUUCCCAGAGUAGCGGCGAGCGAAACGGGAACGGCCCAGCGCUGAAUCUCGUCGUUCUUUCGGACGGCCGAGAAAUGUAGCGUUCGGGAGGAGAUAUAAAUUUAUCGCGCGGUCUUAGUCACGACGGCCGGUCCAAGUCCAUCUUGAAGGGGGCCCCGCUUAUCCGUAGAGGGUGCCAGGCCCGUAGCGACGGUCGUCGGCCGCGACGGUCUCUCUCCCCAGAGUCGGGUUGCUUGAGAGUGCAGCCCUAAGCGGGUGGUAAACUCCAUCUAAGGCUAAAUACGACCACGAGACCGAUAGCGAACA